ACAGAAAACUUCAGUAUAUUUUAAAUUUAUGAGAGUCACAUGGAAGGCCUAUAGAUGAAGGUUAGCACACGCUAAAUGGCACACAUUCCAAGCUAAUUAGAAAGAGCUCUUACUCAGCUGAUACCAACUUUACCCGAACGCCAAUUACGGCGAGGAAAUUGAAAGAUAACCCAAUUUUCUCAACUGACUAGAAUUUGGCUUUUCUUGCGAUUGCAAUUUUUUAUUAUUAUAUCUGCAUAAAAGUUUAUUUGAUUUAAUUUAUGUUUUAAUAACUUUUUCAAGCUCUUAAAGAACAUUUUAACAGAAUUUUAAACGAUUUUAUUCUGAUAGUGCUUGAUGUAAUUGUUUAUCCUAUUAUUAAAGAAGCUAAAUGGAUCUAGAGAGGAAAAAGGAAACAUGUGAAUAUUCAACAAAAAUUUUUUUACCACCAGUACUCGAAAUAAACACAUGUUAAAAUCUUUUCUUCAACAAUGAUUUGCUGAAUAAUCAUUUAACAAAUCCGCACAACAUAAUAAUCAAACAAUAUGUUUUUAAUUUUAGGAAUUUCAGAGAAUUUGAAAUAUGGAUAUUAAUGAAAAUUAAUUAGUUUAAAAUAAUAUGAGAAAAUAAAAAGUGUUGCAACAGUUAAAUAAAGUUUUAUUCUCAA